rnacentral:rRNA from 1 species
UACAGAGGGUGCGAGCGUUACUCGGAAUUACUGGGCGUAAAGGGCGCGUAGGUGGUUAUAUAAGUGAGAUGUGAAAUCCCCGGGCUUAACCUGGGAACUGCAUUUUAUACUGUAUGGCUAGAGUACAUGAGAGGGUAGUGGAAUUUCCGGUGUAGCGGUGAAAUGCGUAGAUAUCGGAAGGAACACCAGUGGCGAAGGCGGCUACCUGGCAUGAUACUGACACUGAGGCGCGAAAGCGUGGGGAGCAAACAGG